UACGUAGGGGGCGAGCGUUGUCCGGAGUUACUGGGCGUAAAGGGCACGCAGGCGGUGCGGCGCGUUUCGCGUGACAGCGGAGGGCUUAACUCUCCGAGGAUGCGAAAGACGGCGGCACUUGAGGGCCAGAGAGGGACACGGAAUUCCGGGUGGAGUGGUGAAAUGCGUAGAUAUCGGAAGGAACACCGGUGGCGAAAGCGGUGCGCUGGACCUCUUCUGACGCUGAGGCGCGAAAGCCAGGGGAGCGAACGGG
rnacentral:rRNA from 1 species